rnacentral:rRNA from 1 species
CAGUCGCCGCGGGAAUACGUAGGGGGCAAGCGUUGUCCGGAAUUAUUGGGCGUAAAGCGCGCGCAGGCGGUUCUUUAAGUCUGGUGUAUAAGUGCGGGGCUCAACCCCGUGAGGCACUGGAAACUGGGGAACUUGAGUGCAGAAGAGGAGAGCGGAAUUCCACGUGUAGCGGUGAAAUGCGUAGAGAUGUGGAGGAACACCAGUGGCGAAGGCGGCUCUCUGGACUGUAACUGACGCUGAGGCGCGAAAGCGUGGGGAGCAAACAGGAUUAGAUACCCCCGUAGUCCCUGUCUCUUAUACA